CGACCUUCCCAGCUCGGCUGGCGACGCUCUAGUCGCCCUUUCUCUGAGGCCCGCCGGCGGCCACUGAGCUGUGAGCGCAAGGCCUGCCUCCCUGCGCACAGCCUGCGGGUCCGGGUCAUGGCACGACUCCCGAAACUCGCAGUCUUCGAUCUAGAUUACACGCUCUGGCCGUUCUGGGUGGACACGCACGUAGACCCCCCGUUCCACAAGAGCAGUGAUGGAACUGUACGAGAUAGGCGGGGCCAGAGCAUCCAACUGUACCCUGAGGUGCCUGCGGUCCUGGAACGAUUGCGGGGCCUGGGAGUGCCCAUCGCGGCCGCUUCACGGACAGGUGAGGUUGAAGGAGCCAACCAGCUGCUGGAGCUCUUUGACCUUGUCAGAUACUUUGUUCAUCGGGAAAUCUAUCCAGGCAGCAAAGUCACGCACUUUGAGAGGUUGCAGCGAAAGACUGGAGUUCCUUUCUCCCAGAUGAUCUUCUUUGAUGAUGAGAAGAGGAACAUCGUAGAUGUCAGCAAACUGGGUACUAAGUGGUGUUACCUGCAUUCAUGUCCAGCAUGGAAUGAGCCUUCAAACCCUAACUCAAGGAUUAGAUGCAUUCACAAAGGCCCAAGCUGGACUCUGAGGUCCAGUCAUUUGAGGAACAGAACUGAAAGGAAAUCAGGAGGGCAUUUUCAGGAAAGAAGGAGAAGGCACCAACCCCUGAAGAGGCAAUACAGAAACUGAAGGAGACGGAGAAGAUACUGAUCAAGAAACAGGAAUUUCUGGAGCAGAAGAUUGAACAGGAGCUACAAACUGCCAAGAAGCAUGGGACCAAGAACAAGAGAGCCGCCCUACAGGCUUUGCGGAGGAAGAAAAGGUUGGAACAGCAGCUGGCACAAACCGACGGGACAUUAUCCACCCUGGAGUUUCAGCGUGAGGCCAUUGAGAAUGCCACCACCAAUGCAGAAGUGCUUCGUACCAUGGAGCUUGCUUCCCAAGGCUUGAAGAAGGCCUACCAGGACAUGGACAUUGACAAGGUAGAUGAACUGAUGGCUGACAUCACAGAACAACAGGAGGUGGCCCAGCAGAUCUCAGAUGCCAUUUCUCGGCCUGUGGGCUUUGGAGAUGACGUGGAUGAGGAUGAACUGCUGGAGGAGCUGGAGGAGCUGGAGCGGGAGGAACUGGCCCAAGAGCUGUUAGAUGUGGGUGACAAGGAGGAGGAGCCCCCAGUCACACUGCCCAGUGUACCCGCUACACAUCUGCCUGCAGAGCCAGCUCCCAAAGCGGAUGAAGAUGAAGCAGCCCUAAAGCAGCUGGCUGAGUGGGUGUCCUGAUGAGUCUGGGCUUGUCAGCCUAACGCUGCCUUUGUUGCUCUCUUUUCCUUAAGUGCCAAAUGCUGAGCUAAAGGAACAUGGCCUUGUUGGGAGGUGGUCCUGGCUGAGGGUGGUGGUGUGACCCUGCCUGAGAAAAGGGUCUGUGGCCCUCCCUUCCCUGGCUCAACUAUGAAGAAGGAUUGGUACAGAAAGAGCCACUGGGCUCCCAUGGAUAGCAUUACAGUGCCCUCAUUCCCAAUAAAACUGGGCGGAUGGAA